CUUGGGAAUAGCUCCUCCCAGCCAGCAGGUGGAGACGGUGCAAAUUCUGCAGUGUCUCAUGAUGAGGAUUCCUCCCCUGAAGCCCUUGGGAAUUGUGUGUGGAAACCAGCUGCAGAAUCAGGCAAUAAACAGGUUACGUUGGGUGACCCCCCCUGCUAACACUUCAGGUACAACAAUGAGAAAGCCCAACAGUGCUGACGGCCCAUCAGCAAGAGACAAUGGAUUGUAAAAGAGCUUAGUCUUCCUG